UUUGAAUCUAACACUCCCCUCCAUUCACGUGUUUUUGAAUCUAACACUCCUCUCCAUUCUCUCUAGUUUCUUAACCCUCCAUUUCUUUUAACCUUCAUCUAGUCACUACAAACCCUAACUUCUCCAAAGCAAAGUUUCACAAACAUUAUCUAUUCUCCAAAGCAAAGCUUUAUAAACUCUAACUUCUCAAAAACAAAACAAAGCACCAUUCCACCACCGAUCCUACUUGAUACUUGUCACCAAGAAGCACUUUACACAAAUGUCAUUUUGACCUAAUUACUCCGGAUCCUAAAGUUGGAGGCGGUGUCGGUGGAACUUGAGGAGUUGCCCAUAACCCAAAUCCAACACUCACCGAGAUAGGUGGAAGGAGUAUGAGUGUUUUUGAUUAGGAGCUUAGAGACUUUUAUUUUGAUGUCUCUUAUCCAUUCUUUUGUAACCUCAUUGGUUUGA